rnacentral:lncRNA from 1 species
GGCACCACCUCCGGCGGGUGACAGCAGGCUUCCCACGCCGCCCGCGAGGCGGAGGGGCCGCCCGGGCUGGCCGCGGGUUCCUCGGCAGGGUCGCAGAUGUCCUCCAGGGCUCCCGGGCAGGCAGGCUCCCCAUCCGGCGGCUCUCGGUGCUGCGUCUGCCGCUUGUGCUUCAUGCGCCGGUUCUGAAACCAGACUUUGACCUGCCUUUCGGUGAGGUCCAGCAAGGCCGCGAUCUCGACGCGGCGUGGCCGGCACAGGAAAAGAUGAGUGAGGAUCUCCGCGUUGGAGGAAGAGGGAGUCGAAAGAGGCUUCCACUCUUUGAAAAAGGUCAGUAUUAAGGUGAAAAUAAGAAAGAGAUUUACAAUCAUCACACCACUAUCCCUGUUACCCUCCAAAAACAACAGUUAAAUCUUGGGAAAUGGACAGGAACUCCCAGGCAGACACAUAGGAGUGAGAUGGAGCAUAAGGGGCAUUUUUGGGCCUCUGGCCUCCAUCGCUGUAUGGUCUGGGUUCUCUUCUCUGCCCAGUGUUUGCAGCACUGCCUCUGCCCCUUAUGUACCCCUGCUUUCCUCACUUUCAGGCUUCCAUGCUUCUCUGUGACAUCCCCCAAAAACAGGCAGAGUCUAAGAUGUGCAUGUACCCACUCAAGCCUCAAGCUUGUAUCUGUAUCCAUAUCCAGGGACAUGAACAAGAACUGAGGUAGCCAUUGGUUUAACUUAGAGCACUCUCAAAGUUCAGAUCAGCGUUAUGUGUGUGCAUGAGUGUGGUGGGGAGAUUUUCCCCUAGGACAAAGAGACUUUCCCUCCCAUUUUUGCCAUUGUGCUAGUUAAAAAAGAAAAAAGAAAAAAAAAAAAAAAAGAAUCCCUGACAAGGAAGAAUUCCCUGAAGAUGGUAGGGGUGGAAAUAAUGACCACUGAGAUGAUAUUCCAUUUCUGGCUGCUGGGGGAAAAUGUUUUUAAAAUUUAUUUUAUUUUGAGGAGACCAAGAUAGUCUGAAGUUUAGAGUGUUGUAAUUUACUAUGGGGAGAGGGCACAAGACUCUGAGCCCCAAGCAAUUGGUGGGAAACUAGGCCUCAAAGCAGAAAAUGAAAAGUCGAUCUGGGGGAAGAUUUUUAAAUAAGUGGGUCAGACGGAUGGAGAGGAGAUGAGGCGAUCAAUCUUAGCCCCCUGACAGCUCCCUCCGAUUGCAUCAAAGAAUUUGGCUCUUUGGGAAAGCAGAGCGAACAGCCAAAAUUUCACAUCCCUUAAAAAGGCCUGGGGGUGGGGGUGGGGGUGCAAAAGAGAAGGGUGAUUCUGGGAGAGCUGGGAAACAGAUGGGAAAUGGGGACAGAGGGAAAGCGCUAAGUUGGGUGGAAAGUUUGCCUGGAGAACUCCCAUGGCUUUGGCCUCCCCUCCCCCUCCUCUCUCUCUGCUGCCCAGCCAGGAGGAGAAGGCUGGUUAGCAGAGAAAUGGCAACUGAGCCCGGAGCUGGAACUAGAAACUUUCUGUCAGUGUAACAUCUGCACCCAAUGGUGGUUGGGCUUCGGGUCACGUGACACCUUCUUUGUGGCUCCGGAAGAGGAUUGUGAAGUUUAGGUUUCGUGGAAGAAACCGAUAAUUGAGGAAAAAAAAAAAUCAAGAUUUGGGGGGAAUUACCUACAAAGAUGUAAGGUGUGUUAAUUUGGGCGCUUCUUGGAUUCUACCCUGAGGAGGAGGCGCGUGGUGAGAGGAGAGGUCUGUGUAGGUGGGGUGGGGUUCGCAGGGUCCGUGGUGCUGGCUGGG